rnacentral:lncRNA from 7 species
GUUUGUUUGUUUUAAGAGAAAACUUGUGAUUUUUGAUGAAAUUAUGUAUUUUUGAAGUGAAAAUGCGUGUUUUUCAGGUUAGAUCAGGGAUUCUUGAAGAGAAAAUGCAUCAUUGUCCGGGGUUUUACAUGGGGGAUUUCCCAAAGAGAAAUCGCCUUUUUUUUUUUUUUUUUUUUUUCUGGUUAAAUGGGGGAUUUUUGAAGAGAAAAUGGGGGAUU